UACGUAGGGUGCAAGCGUUAAUCGGAAUUACUGGGCGUAAAGCGUGCGCAGGCGGUUGUGCAAGUCAGGGGUGAAAUCCCCGGGCUCAACCUGGGAACUGCAUUUGUGACUGCAUGGCUAGAGUACGGUAGAGGGGGAUGGAAUUCCGCGUGUAGCAGUGAAAUGCGUAGAUAUGCGGAGGAACACCGAUGGCGAAGGCAAUCCCCUGGACCUGUACUGACGCUCAUGCACGAAAGCGUGGGGAGCAAACAGG
rnacentral:rRNA from 1 species